GUGGCGGACGGGUGAGUAACACGUAAGAAUUUACCUUUAGGAGGGGGAUAACAACUGGAAACGGUUGCUAAUACCCCAUAUGCUUUCGAGUGAAAUGGAUUUUUCCGCCUAAAGAGGAGCUUGCGGCUGAUUAGCUUGUUGGUGAGGUAAUGGCUCACCAAGGCGACGAUCAGUAUCUGGUUUGAGAGGACGAUCAGACACACUGGAACUGAGACACGGUCCAGACUCCUACGGGAGGCAGCAGUGGGGAAUUUUCCGCAAUGGGCGAAAGCCUGACGGAGCAAUACCGCGUGAGGGAUGACGGCCUAUGGGUUGUAAACCUCUUUUUUCAGGGAGGAAUCAAUGACGUGUACCUGAAGAAUAAGCAUCGGCUAACUCCGUGCCAGCAGCCGCGGUAAGACGGAGGAUGCAAGUGUUAUCCGGAAUCACUGGGCGUAAAGCGUCUGUAGGUGGUCUAGUAAGUCAACUGUUAAAUCUUGAGGCUCAACUUCAAAAUCGCAGUCGAAACUAUUAGACUAGAGUAUAGUAGGGGUAAAGGGAAUUUCCAGUGGAGCGGUGAAAUGCGUAGAGAUUGGAAAGAACACCGAUGGCGAAGGCACUUUACUGGGCUAUUACUGACACUGAGAGACGAAAGCUAGGGUGGCAAAUGGGAUUAGAUACCCCAGUAGUCCUAGCCGUAAACAAUGGAUACUAGAUGUUGAACAGAUCGACCUGUGCAGUAUCAAA
rnacentral:rRNA from 1 species